AUAGAACGCUGGCGGCAGGCCUAACACAUGCAAGUCGAACGGUAACAGGAAGCAGCUUGCUGCUUUGCUGACGAGUGGCGGACGGGUGAGUAAUGUCUGGGAAACUGCCUGAUGGAGGGGGAUAACUACUGGAAACGGUAGCUAAUACCGCAUAACGUCGCAAGACCAAAGAGAGGGACCUUAGGGCCUCUUGCCAUCGGAUGUGCCCGGAUGGGAUUAGCUAGUAGGUGGGGUAACGGCUCACCUAGGCGACGAUCCCUAGCUGGUCUGAGAGGAUGACCAGCCACACUGGAACUGAGACACGGUCCAGACUCCUACGGGAGGCAGCAGUGGGGAAUAUUGCACAAUGGGCGCAAGCCUGAUGCAGCCAUGCCGCGUGUAUGAAGAAGGCCUUCGGGUUGUAAAGUACUUUCAGCGGGGAGGAAGGGAGUAAAGUGAAAACCUUUGCUCAUUGACGUUACCCGAAGAAGAAGCACCGGCUAACUCCGUG
rnacentral:rRNA from 1 species